rnacentral:lncRNA from 1 species
AGAGAGAGAGAGGUACAAUUUCCUCUUCAAAAUUUUGUUUUUUUAGAUCAAUGUGAGAGAGAGUAUCAUAAUGAGAUAGAGAGGUUGGAUCCCAAUGGGGCACAUUUGGCUCUUCAAAACCAUAAAAAUGUUUUUUACCCUCUCCCUUUUUAUUUUUCGGUCUCUCUUUUCAUGAGAGAGAGAGAGAGAGAGACAUUUGGGGGCCACAUUUUUUAUCACUUAUUUUUUCAUUCUUUUUCUUUUUUUAACUCAUUUUUAUUAUUUUAUUUUUGAUUGGUGGAGAAUUAUAUGAGAGAAUAGUGAUCCAAGUGGGUCGUGAUUGGGGAAAUUGGGAUCCUUGAUAAUUUUGAUCUAAUGGCCAAUGAGAGGUAGAACAUAUUAGGGCUUCCAAAAUUACUCCUAGAGAGCCCUUUCUUAUGUUCAUAUGUAUUUUGUACAAAAUGAUAUUUACAAACAAAUAGAAUGGGGGGAUGAGAAAAGAAUUCAUUAAUUAUAUUUUUGUGUUUGACAAGACCUUCGGACUUGUGCCUACGUACUAUCAUAAAAAUGAGGGAUCAAAACCUCGUAGUUCAGGAUAUAAAUUUCAAAGUGGAUGCAUUGCUUUUAACAAAAAUUAGGUUUGAAAGACACAAAGGCCUAGAAAAUGGUUUGAAUGAGUUAGUUCUUUUUGGAUUUUUGAAAAUUUUAAGUCAAGUAUGGUUAAGUUUAUUUACAAGUUUGAUUUAAGAAAAGGAGUUUGAAAAUGCAAUGGCAUAAGGCCAAAGUU